AGGUUAAGAAAGUUGCGCCGAUGUCUCCCGCAGCCAAGUGCGAGCGGAGGUGCUAUUUCUCCCGAAAGUUGGGACGGCGGAGGCAGGACCCGGGGCGGGGGGCGGGGGCGGCGCCCCGAGUCUCAGCUCCCGGCAUCUCCGCGCCGGGGCCUCCGCGGGUCCCGGGGACACCGCGUCCCAGCCGCCGCCGCGGGCUCCCAUCCGCUCGGGGUCCCGGGGGGGCCGCGGCCUCGGGCUCUGCCUGCCCCCCCCCAAACCCCCGCCGACUUUCUUUCCCGCCCCCGCCCCCCACGCCCUGCCCCUGCAGCGCGCCGAUCUCCCUGCGGCCGAGCGAGCGAGCGCACGAUGCGCGGGCCGGGACGCCCCCUGCUCCUGGGGCUGCUGCUGGUGCUGGGGGCGGCGGGGCCCGGGGUCGCUGCGCCCCGGGAGGCGGCCGACGGACAGACUCUGCUGCGGCUCAUCGCGGAGAUCCUGCAGGAGCUCCGGAAGGGCCAGGCGGGCGAGGCCAAGAGGCUGCAGCUCGCGGGCCGCAGGGAGGCCUCGGACUCCGCGCUGGACCCCGAGGAGCAGCGAGUGGAAAUCGUCCCUCGAGAUCUGAGAAUGAAGGACAAGUUCCUAAAACAUCUCACAGGUCCUCUUUAUUUCAGUCCAAAGUGCAGCAAACACUUUCACAGACUGUACCACAACACCAGAGACUGCACCGUCCCUGCAUACUAUAAAAGAUGUGCCAGGCUUCUUACCCGGCUGGCUGUCAGUCCUAUGUGCUUGGAGGGAUAAGCCGUGAGCAGAGGGCAGAGGGACGGCAGCCCAUGAACCAUGAGAAGUGCCUUGGGAACCAACAGGGGACAGAACCUACUACCUUCACGAACACAUCCCCUUGUGAACAAGAGAUUUAUUUUUGCAGACAGACUCUUCCAUAAUUCCUUUAACUUGAGUUGUGUAUGUCGACACUGUUGGCAGAUACGUAUUCAGCAAAUCAGCGUACCUGACGUUAAUACUGGCCACUUGUGAUUCUGGAGAAAAAGAAGGAAGGAUCCACGUUUGAUGAGCAGGGCUACAAAGUGACAGAGAAAGCAAUUUCCUUUUCCUAAUUAGGUGAAAUCUCAAAGAAUAUUUCUUUAGAAACAUAAACAGAAUCCGAAACUAUAUUUUCAUACAGCAUAUGGUAUGAUUUAAUAUUUUUAUUACUUUUACAAUUAAAUUCCCAGAGUAUUAUUUGGAAUUGCAUGAAAACCCACAAAAAAACGUGUCACGUUUUGGAGACAGUGGAGUGUAAAUCUGUGAACAUACCCAGGCUCAUUUCAUUUGUCCUUUGUACAAUAAAUGUAAGAUAGUAUCCAGAUAUUGUGCAAUAUGUAAAUACUGUAAAUGCUGAACCAAGUAAUAAACAGUGUUUAUUAUAA